CUGCCAUGCUGGAGGACACUCACAGCUCUGUGAAGAGGCCCAUAUGGAGAGGAACUGAAACUUCCCAUCAACAAACAGCCCAUGCCAACUGGCCAAGCUAUAUAAGCUAAAGUGCAACAGCAGGAUCUCCGAUCACUACAACCUCCGCCUUCCAGGUUCAAGUGAUUCUCCUGGAUCAUUCUCCCAAGUAGCUGGGAUUACAGGAAUAAAAGAAGAUGGCUCCCUUCCUGCUUUCUGCUACCUGAAACAGAGAUGUGACGACCAGAGCUACUGCUGCUAUCUUGGACCAAGAAGUAACCUUGACGUUCCAUGCCAAGGAUGGUGAAGGAGAAAGAUAGACGUCUUAAUGACAUUGUGGAGCCAUCAAAACAACAGCGGCCUGGCCCACCUCCAGAUGUUUUGUUUUUCACAUAGGAGAAAAACUUCUAUUUCUUUUUUUACUUGAAAGCCCCCAGUGGGGAAGUGGGGAGAAACUUCUCUCUUACCUAAGCCACUAUUGUUCAGGGAAUUCUGUGUAAGAAGCUGCACCAAAUACUACCUGAAGUAGAAGGAUCCUGCCUCAUUUUCUUUCUGUAAGAGCUACGUGAAAGAACAUAUGUAAAACUCUUAGUGCCCUUCCAAGCACACAGUAAGUCUCAGUAUUGUUAAUUCUUACUUUUAAGUGAUUGAGCAGGUCAGAGAUUAGAAUGAUACAUAGGAGAGCUAAAAG
rnacentral:lncRNA from 13 species